UUAUUAUUAUACUUAUAGCUGUACCAGUUGAUUAUCAUCAUCAUCAUAGAUAAUAAUCUAGACUAGUAUUCUAGAUCUAUAAAUAAUCAUAGUCACUGUGAUAGUGCCCUUUUUAGUCAAUGUAGUCAAGUCAAGAUAGUGGAACGUAAACUCGAAGGUUUAAUACAAUACAGUAUAAGUAGAGUCUAUGAUUAUUAACAAGUAGAACCAUGCCAACCAGUUCUGAUGAUGUACCAGAAUGGCUCAAGGAUCAUACUUAUACUAUUUCUACUCUCUGGGCAGACAUUAAUAAUAUUGGAAUCCAUUCAAUAUUUAUUUUAUGUUUGGAAAUGCAAGAAAAAGGCAUGCAUUCCUGGCAAGUCAAUGAUUGGUUGCACCUCUUAA